rnacentral:lncRNA from 1 species
UGGAACCGUACUUGCUUUUUUCGUUGCGGUAGUGGAGGCUUUAGUGGUGGUCAUCAUGGAUGUGGAGAUUUUAGUGCCGGUCAUCAUAGUGGCGGUCUUCAUAGUGGUUGGUGCCAUCAUCAGUGGUUGUCAUCAUGGUGGCGGUGGUGGAGGCUUUAGUGGUGGUCAUCAUGGUGGCGGUGGUGGAGGCUUUUUCGGUGAUGGAGGCUUUAGCGGUGGCGUAGAUGGUGGCGGCGGCGGCGGUGGCGGAGAUGGUGGCGGCGGUGGCGGUGGCGGUGGCGGAGGUGGUGGAGGUGGAGGUUGUUAAGAUGAGGAUGGUGUAUAUAUGUAUAAUAUUAUUAAAAUACCAAGGUCUUAAUUUAAAAAAAUAAAAUGAAUAAAUGAGCUUAUAAAUUGUAGUUCUUGUUAUAUAUAAGGAUAACGAUUCUAAUGAGAAUCAGACUGUUGAAAUGUCUACAUGGAGAUUUUCACUCCUAAAUGAUUUAAAUAAUAAACUAUAUAAAUCACCAUUAGAUUUAGAUGUAAGUGAUGGUACCCCUAGUCCAUCAACCCAGGUCAAUGCGAG